rnacentral:misc_RNA from 1 species
AGGUUUGGAUUGUUUCGUUGGUAAUAAAACAAAUAAAAGAAUGGGAGCAGUAGGCUCAUAACCAGCAUCUGUUCUGUGGUAGAAGUUGCAGAAUGUGAUCGCCCAAAAGCAAUUUCUUGAUCGACUUACAAGGUUCACAUGCCUAAACAGGGCUCUCAGAAAGUUUUGAGAAGCUUAUCUUCUUCAGACUAUUCUUCAUAAGGUUUGCACGUGUUUUUCCCGAACUACCACAUUUUAUGUCCACGAUUUCAACUAACGCCAGUCCCUUUCUAUCAGGUUUCUUCCUAAUAGGAGUUCCAUCUACU